AUUGAACGCUGGCGGCGUGCUUAACACAUGCAAGUCGAACGAAGUGGCGAACGGGUGAGUAACGCGUAAUCCACCUGCCCUUCAGAGGGGGACAACAGUUGGAAACGACUGCUAAUACCGCAUAGUGAAGCAGGUGGUUGCGUCUAAUUAGCUCGUUGGAGGGGUAACGGCCCACCACGGCGAUGAUCAGUAGCCGGUCUGAGAGGAUGAACGGCCAAAUUGGGACUGAGACACGGCCCAGACUCCUACGGGAGGCAGCCGUGGGGAAAUUUCCGAAAUGGACGAAAGUCUGACGGAGCAACGCCGCGUGAGUGAUGACGGCCUUCGGGUUGGAAAGCUCUGUUAAUCGGGACGCGGUACCGGAAGAGAAAGCCACGGCUAACUACGUGCCAGCAGCCGCGGUAAUAC
rnacentral:rRNA from 1 species